rnacentral:misc_RNA from 1 species
AACCAUAGAAACCUGCGGAGUACCUGCGGAAGGAUCAUUACAGAGUUGCAAAACUCCCACAAACCAUCACGAAUCUUACCCGUACGGUUGCCUCGGCGCUGGCGGUCCGGAAGGCCCUCGGGCCCCCGGACCCUCGGGUCCCCCGCUCGCGGGGGGCUGCCCGCCGGAGUGCCGAAACCAAACUCUUGAUAUUUUAUGUCUCUCUGAGUAAACUUUUAAAUAAGUCAAAACUUUUAACAA